UUUCCUUUUAUUUUUAGAAAUAAUCUAUUCAGUUGUUAAAAUUCCUUAUUCCGGGAUGGGUACGGUGGCUCACACCUAUAACCCCAACACUUUGGGAGGCCAGCGCAGGUGGAGGUUGCAGUGAACCGAGAUCGCACCAUUGCACUCCAGCCUGGGCAACAAGAGAAACUCCAGCUCAAAAAAAAAAAAAAAAAAAAAAAAAGAAAGAAAGAAAAAGAAAACAGGAGGAUUGGGCUAUUUCCACAUCAGGGUCCCAUUUAAUACCCCCUUAAAACAUCAGCUUUCCUUCCAGAGACUGAUCAUUGAGAAAGCAGUACUGCUGACAUAGAUCCUGCCUACUUAUAAAUCAUAAUGGUUGGUAAUCUCCAUUAAAAAGAAUAAAUUUUCCCCACUGUGGUUCAGAUGACGAGUUCCAGUUAUUACAGAGAAAUUUCAUGGACAAGUACUACCUGGAGUUUGAAGACACAGAAGAGAAUAAACUCAUCUACACACCUAUUUUUAAUGAAUACGUAAGUAGAUUUCUAUGUCUCCUACCAGGAGGUCAGAGUUUUUAAAAAUUUAAAUUUAGAUUCAAAAGACAUUGAAAUUUGCUGCCUUUUAAAAUAUGCCACCAGUACACUUCCAGGAAUCCUCAUUAGCAUCUGGUUUAAGUUCAUUUUCCUCUGCACAGCCUUUGGGGCUAUUUUCCAAAAGGCUUUCAGGCAAAUAUUUGAUUAACUCAUCAGCUUCUUAUUUAAAAGAAGUUUGACCUGGGCUUGGUAGCACACCUGUAGUGCCAGCUAUUUGGGAGGUUGAGGUGGAAGAAUCACUUGAGCUUAGGAGUUUGAGACCAGCCUGGGCAACACAGCAAGAUCUCUGUCUCUAAAAAAAAAAUGAUAAUAAUAAAGAUAAUAAAUAAAAGACGUUUGGCUUAUCAUAAUCCUGCUUUUAAUCACAGUACAUGAGUUCUUCAUACCUUGCAUUUGCAUGCUUUUGACAAACCUUUCUGCUUUCACAUACUCUUUCUUUCUUCUAUAUAAUCCAGUCAUAUAUGCAUGACUAUUAAGUAAAAGUGAAAACUGAGACCAAGAUCACUAACUAUUUGGUGGAAAAACCAAGACUGGAACCCAGGAACCUCAGCUCGUCACCCUUGGGUCUCUACACUUUACCCUGAGGCCUCUUAACAGCCCCCUGGGAUUCUGUCAUCUAAGAAUCCAUUUUGGCCUCCAGGACUUUAUUUUCUUAACACAGAAGCAUGGCAUAAACAAACCUGCCCAGAAGGAACCUGUGACUGCCUCCAUGUCCGUAUGUUCUGUUACACAGAUGCCCUCUACCCAGGAGGCAAAGCCCCCACUUACUGCAUCCUGCACUGGGUUGUGGGUGUGGGUACCGUGCUACUCACUGUCUCCACCUGUGUCAGAGCAUCCACCCUGUUACAGCACCAUUAUCAGCUAAGGCUUCUCUUCCACACCAGGCUGAGUACUUCUCCAGGACAGGAGCUGUGUUUUGGUCCUCUUUGGUAUCCUUGGCACUCAGUGUAGAUUGUGGCACACAGACCUCAGGAAAUGUUUAGAAAGGGCUGGGCAGGCUUUCUGAAAAGAAGUCUUGUUUUCCCAAAGUAUGGUCUCACCAAAAUCCUUUCCACUGUUGCAGAUUUCUUUGGUAGAAAAAUACAUUGAAGAACAGCUGCUGCAGCGGAUUCCUGAGUUCAACAUGGCAGCCUUCACCACAACAUUACAGUGAGUUGAGCUUGACUGAUUUUUGUGUUUUGUUUUGUUUUCUCACUUUCUUCCUUCCCUAGGCUGACCAAAAGACGCUCCUUGUUUGUUUUCCUGUGCAUGCCGUUGGUGGUUAGGUCCUAUGGAGGAAGCCCUCAAACCUUUUAAUGAAAUCUUGAAAAGAUCAGGCAUUGGCUCACGCUUGUGUUCUCAGUGCUUUGGGAGGCCAAGGGAGGAGGAUCACUUGAGCCCAGGAGUUCAAGACCAGCCUGGGUGACAUAGUGAGGCCCCGACCCUACAAAAAAUAAAUUAGUCAGGUGUGGUGUUGCAUACCUGUGGGCCUAGCUACUCAGGAGGCUGAGGCUGGAGAAUCCCUUGAGCCCAGCAGUUCAAGGCUACAGUGAGCUAUAAUUGCACCCCUGCACUCCUGCCUGGGUGACAGAGCAAGACCCAGUCUCUAAAAAAACAAAACAAAAAUAAUGCGGGGGGUGGGGCUGGGGUGGUGGAAAGAAAAACGAAAGCAAUCUUGAGGACUGUCUCAUCAUUCAUUCACGAAACAGCCAUCUGUUCCGUUUGCAGGCACCAUAAGGAUGAAGUGGCUGGUGACAUAUUCGACAUGCUGCUCACCUUCACAGAUUUUCUGGCUUUUAAAGAAAUGUUUUUGGACUACAGAGCAGUAAGUUACUACUCCUAUUUAUUUAGCCACUUUGAGCCACUUAGAAAAUUCCAGGUAGAAAUACCGAACAUGAACCUCCCACGCUUCCCCCAUCAUUCUCCCUUCAAACUGGCCGAUGAGGCAUCAGAAGAGUGAGCUGCUAUUCUGUUGUGGCUGGGACCUUCUCAUGUUUUCAUGAAACAAGCCCAGGUACCAACUUAGAGUUCCUAAUCAGAAGGACAAAACCGAAAAAGCAGGUCUCAGGUCUCAUUCUGCCUUGCCUUUCUUUUAUUUAUUUUUUUUUUUGAGACAGAGUUUUGCUCUUGUCACCCAGGCUGGAGUGCAGUGGCACCAUCUUGGCUCACUGGAACCUCUGCCUUCCAGGUUCAAGCAAUACUCCUGCCUCAGCCUCCCGAGUAGCUGAUACUACAGGCACCUGCCACCACGCCCAGCUAAUUCUUGUAUUUUUAGUAGAGACAGGGUUUCACCAUGUUGGCCAGGCUGGUCUCAAACUCCUGAAGCAUGGUCCGCCUCGGCCUCCCAAAGUGUUGGGAUUACAGGCGUGAGCCACCGCACCUGGCCCUGCCUUGCUUUUCAUAUAAUGCAAGCUCUUUAUAAGAAAAAUAGGAGACUGGGCAUGGUAACUCACACCUAUAAUCCCAGCACUUUGGGAGGCCGAGGCAGGCAGAUGGCUUGAGCUCAGGAGUUUGAGACCAGCCAAGGCAACAUGGCAAAACCCUGUCUCUAUGAAAAAUACAAAAAUUAGCUUGGUGUGCUGGUGUGCAUCUGUAGUCCCAGUCAGCUACUUUGGGGGCUGGGUGGGAGGACCGCUUGAGCCCAGAAGGUUGAGAUUGCUGUGAGCUGUGAUUGUACUGCUACAGUCCAGCCUGGGUGACAGAGUCAGACCCUGUGUCAAAAAAAAAAAAAGAAAAGAAAAAGAAAUGGUGUUGGGUGUGGUUGUGCAUGCCUGUAGUCCCAGCUACUUCGAAGGCUGAGGCAGGAGAAUCACUUGAGCCUAGGAGUUUGGGGCUGUAUUACACAGCAGUGGUGCCUGUGAAUAGCCACUGCACUCCAGCCUGGGCAACAUAGCAAGACCCCUAUCUCAAAAAAAAAAAAAAAGAAAGAAAGAAAAAUGUUUUCCAGUGAAGGGAGGUACAUUUUAAGAGUGCAUUUUAAGAAUGACCAGGGCCAGGCUGGACACAGUGGCUCAUACUUACAAUUCCAGCGCUUUGGGAGGCCAAGGCAGGAGAAUCACUUGAGCCCAGGAGUUCAAGACCAGCCUAAGUGACAUAUCAAGACCCUGUCUCUACAAAAAUAAAAAUAAAAAAGUUAGUCAGCUGUAGUGGUGCACACCUGUAGUCCUAGCUACUCAGGAGGCUGAGGCAGGAGGACCACUUGAGCCCAGGAAUUCCAGGCAGCAGUUAGCUGUGAUCAAGCCACUAUACUCCAGCCUGGGUGACAGAGCAAGACCCUACCUCUUUAAAAAUAAUAUUAAAAAAAAUUAAGACUAGGGCAGGCCAGUAUUGAGCAGAAAUGCAGAAUAACCAAUAACCUGUGUUCCCUUCCUAUGUACUCUGGAGGUCCACGUUCCCACCUUCAGCUCUGCCUUCCCCAUGUCAGAGGCAAGAUUCCAAGCCAGGGCUCUUUCUAGUCCUUCCUUUGGUUGUUUUCUCAUAUAGGAAAAAGAAGGCCGAGGACUGGACUUAAGCAGUGGCUUAGUGGUGACUUCAUUGUGCAAAUCAUCUUCUCUGCCAGCUUCCCAGAACAAUCUGCGGCACUAGGUCCUACCUCCAGCCAAUGAAUGGGAUCAUUCUGGAUGUCACCAGCCCAAUAGGCUCAGCUCAUGAUGACAGAACACAUCUUGGAAAGACUGACUCUGUUAUGUAACUCUUCAUUUAUGUUAAGUAUUAAUAGGUCAAAACCAAAAU
rnacentral:lncRNA from 1 species